UGGGGAAUUUUGGACAAUGGGCGAAAGCCUGAUCCAGCAAUGCCGCGUGUGUGAAGAAGGCCUUCGGGUUGUAAAGCACUUUUGUCCGGAAAGAAAUCCUUGGCUCUAAUACAGUCGGGGGAUGACGGUACCGGAAGAAUAAGCACCGGCUAACUACGUGCCAGCAGCCGCGGUAAUACGUAGGGUGCAAGCGUUAAUCGGAAUUACUGGGCGUAAGCGUGCGCAGGCGGUUUGCUAAGACCGAUGUGAAAUCCCCGGGCUCAACCUGGGAACUGCAUUGGUGACUGGCAGGCUAGAGUAUGGCAGAGGGGGGUAGAAUUCCACGUGUAGCAGUGAAAUGCGUAGAGAUGUGGAGGAAUACCGAUGGCGAAGGCAGCCCCCUGGGCCAAUACUGACGCUCAUGCACGAAAGCGUGGGGAGCAAACAGGAUUAGAUACCCUGGUAGUCCACGCCCUAAACGAUGUCAACUAGUUGUUGGGGAUUCAUUUCCUUAGUAACGUAGCUAACGCGUGAAGUUGACCGCCUGGGGAGUACGGUCGCAAGAUUAAAACUCAAAUGAAUUGAC
rnacentral:rRNA from 1 species